UCUAACAAACAGGAGGGCACUGCAUUUAUCUGCUGCUCCUGGGUCACAAAUACACUGGUAGUCUCUCUCCCUAGGAAAGCAGCUUGAUAAAAAUCAAAUGUUGAAAAUCAGUAUUUUACCCAGGUCCUAAGAUGGCAAAACUGCUGACAAAAUAAUCUCCUAGAAAUUAAGAAUUAUGUAUAUUGCCCUCAAUUUUAUAAAGCUGUUUAUGUUGCAGCUCGAAUGGCUCCCUUGUUACACACAAUUUCUGAGGCUUGGCAGGCACGUGAUUUUCAUAAAUCCAGAUACUACCGUUUCUAACCUCUGACCAUGUUUUAACUGCGCAGGACCCUUUUAAUUCAUUUAACUCAUUUUAAUUGUCUUUCAGGGGAAGCGUGCUUUCUUUGGUCAGCUUAACUGGCAGGGAAUGCUGCCUGCUUGAGUACUUGCUGCCAUUCAAAGAGACCUCUCAUGAAAAUGCAUGCUUGUCCUCGCAACUCCUUCAGCAACUGUAAUAUUUCUCCCUUACUGUUUAUGUCAGAGAGUCAUUACUGGAAGCUGCUGACAUUUCUGACAUUCAGUAGCAUCAGAGCACAUUAGGUGGUCCUUAGAUAAUUUUUAGACAAAAUUUACUUGUAUCACAUGUUCAGGCCAUUACAAGCAACAGAAGUAAUGUGCUUCCAUGCAAAGAUAUUAUCAGUCAGCACGCUCAUUUUUGUGGGCCUUCCUGUAUUAUUCUGUAGCUGCACGAUUUUAACCAUGCAGUGCAUAAUGCAUAAUGCACCGUAUACCCAGGCGGUACGUGCAUUGUUUUUGACUUUUGUGCAAGAUCAAUCUCUAUUAGGAAAUCUAUUAUCAUCACUUGUGUUUUACUACAAUGAAAUAAAUAGGCAGCUGCAGUUGUUUGGCCUAAUAGCUCUUAGCGUGAUUGCUAGAAGUAGGAAAUCAAUGCAGGGUGAAGGGAAGAAACAUUUUUAAUAACUUACACUUCAGAUAUGAGAUCCCCAAGUUAUUACAAAUUAUAAGGUUAAGACCUCUUGAAAGAAUCCUAGCUAGUUAAAUAUUUAAAACUCCUGGGUGAGAACACAGGCACUAAUGAGCUUCAGGCUACUAAACACCAGAAUCUAGGGGGAGACAUCUUGUUUUAUAUUAGAAAGUAUUAGUGAAUAUCAACCGGCCAUGAGGAGUGUUUAAUUAAGAAUUAUAUUGAUACGGGGAAAGCAGAGAAAGAACCAGAUUGCCAAAUCUACUCUUCAUCACCAUUAGAAGCUGGGUUUGUGUGUACAGAACAAACGUGAGCGGCAGUGGCUCACACCAGAGGCUCCGUGGUGUGGGACCUGCCUAUCCCUGUGGCCUUCCCACAGCCCUGGAGAUGCCAGAAACCUUCACGCAAACGUGGAUGGAGCUGCCUGCUUUCUCGUGUUCCCUUUAAGUGCUACGGGCUUGGUUGGGAGGAAUAGCCAAAUUUUGGAUUUUGUGAUUUCAGCAAUUCUGUUAAUCUAAUGAUAACUGCUCUCGAAUGAAAACAUAAUGCAACGUCAGGCUGAUACACAUCGUGCAAUGCACCCACCCCAAAAAAGAAAAGGAGGAAUCUCAUAAAUCAUCAAAUGUCUCUCCUGUGGCCUUUUAAUUCAGAAAUUUAAGAACGUAGGAAACCUGUUAAUUGUACCCAGGUGCAUCAAAAGAAUUGUGAUGUUGAAAUUCAAAUGCCGAGAAGCAAGAAAGCGAGAAGGAAUAUGAAGACUGGUGUGACACGACUGAGCACCAGCUGAUAUCCGGCCUUGCUGCACAACUGUGGUAAGAGAGUUCACUGCACUGUGUGUGCACGUGUGUACGUUAUGUAAAAUAGCCUCUGCCUGUCUGCUCUCUGAAACAGGAGUGUGAGUGGGUAAACAGCUCUGAGCAACAGAUGAAAGGCUGCUGGAGUUGAGACUCCCGGUUCAAAGGUUCCAGCACUACGUGCAGUGGCAGUCUCGGGUUAUUUGUGUUUCCGAGCUUUUGAAUUGUGUGCUCGUCUGCGGAGAUUCCCAUUAUCUUAUUCCUGGUUGUGUUCAUCAGCAGAGCUGGCUGCCUGGCUGCAGACGUAUUGCAUAGGGCAGCUUCAGUUACAUUUCCCCUGCCUCUGCCCGGGAGAAAAUCAGUAAUAUUUUGUUUUAAUUGAUGAUGCUAAAUCACAGCAGCUGAACGCUUGCAUCCUUCUCACUCCCUGUGUGUCUCCUGCUGCCUGGUCAGCGUCGGUCCAGCGCUCCAUUUUUAAAUCAAAUUAUGCUUGUGAUAAUAUUGUCUUGAGCUUACAGUUGCUGACAUGGAUAUUGACAAAGGCUUAGCCAGUAUUUUAAUAAGAAAACAAAAUACGGGAAAUACUCUAGAGUUUCCAGGUGGAUCAUUAACAAGACGCCUUGGAGGGCUGAGACUGCCAGCCAGCACAGGGAAUGCAUCACAGUUCGUCAUACAACUUAAACUUCUUUUGACAUCUAGUUAUGUCGAAAUGUGACUGAUCACCUAGGGGUCCAGGCUCCUGUGAGGGAAAAGUUCACUGACAGACAGCGAACGAAGCUGAUCUUAAAUGAGAAUCAAGAGAAAGCAGCAUUCCAGUGUCUGACAGUCUGCAGCUGCUACCUGGGUCUGCCUAACGAAGACGAGCCUGCUCUGCUGAACAGUUAUAUUAGCAUCUGUAUGCUUCUGUCUCAUUAUCACACAUCUGCCCACCUUUAUUCGAAUGAAGCUUCUUCUGAUCUGACAGCUCAGGCAUUGUCAGUGAAUAGAUAUUAUGGGAUCCGGGUACAGCAGCUUAGGGUGUUAGCUUUUAUUUUCUAAAGACUGUUGUAUGGUUUGACAGUAUAAUGCCACUGAGGUAAAGAAGAUAAUUAACAUAUUGGGCAGGCUCUAAACAAAGCUGAGACAGUUACACUGGCAAAAGUGCCGCUGCUGGAGUGGUAUUGUUUGCACUGGUGGAACAUCAAAGGUUGCCUUGGGAAAGAGCAGGGGCACAGGUACGCCAUGUCCCCCUCUGACGGAUGUUUGGGUCUUUGGUUGAUGCCCAGUAACUGCAUGUCCUCCCAUUGCCUCUGCUCAAAGUCUCCUGUCGUUCUGGGUCAGCUGUUCCCAGCAUCUGAGAGGAUGUGAAAAUGGAGGUAGAGAGAAGGAGGAUGAAGGUUCUCUCUCCUGAAUUUAUUUUUACCCUACAGCAUAAAGCUAAGAGCUUGUGUGAGCUGCACACAGCGCCUGUUUGGAUGGAGAUUUAAGCCUCCUAAGUUGGAAAUCACAUGUGGGAUUUUCUGGAAAUGCCAGAAACGUAUGACUGAGGUUUCAUCAUUUGGCUGCUCAGUAAAGGACUAGAAAGACUUUCUUAGAAACAAACAAACAGGGAAAUAGCAUUCUGAGCUCCUGAUGUAGAUGAGCUUUGAUGGUUAAAGAAAGGAUGCUCAUACUCUCUGCAGCUCUGAGAAAUGAAAUGGUCCUCAGUGUAUUGCUUCACAGUUUGCUUUCUAUCUGAAUACUGGGCAUGGUGGGUGGGAAUGGCAGCUUGGUCCUGUGCUUCAGAGAUGAAGCACUGUAGAAAAUACACCUUUGUAAGCCGCCUUGCUGCUUGUUGUCAUUUGGGAAAACUAGUGAGUGGGAUGCAUUGCUGCAAGAGCAUCCCUGAACAUCUCUGCUGGAGAACCACUGAUGUUGUGAAGGGCCUCGGUACCCCCAGGUGCCCCCAGUCACAAGCAGUGUGGUGGCCAGAGCCCAGACACUCAUCUGACUCAAGUGAGUCCCUUGGUUAAAGCCAACAGUCUCUGCUGUUCCUGUGGCAGUGUGCUGAGAAUUUAGCCUUAAAUGUCUGUGUUAAGGACGUUCUUCAUUUCAUUCAUGGCUUUUGUUUCAACGCUUUUCUCCUUUGUUCUUGAGAGCACGCAGGGUUUCCAUGAGUUAAUGUUGGAAUUACUGCUUCUUUGCAACAGUGCAGUCAAAGUCAUUUCAGCAUCCGCACCGAUAACGUGAGCAUGGCUCGUUCAGGUUGGCCCAGCUGCCCCACGCUCACAAUUGCCACGUUUGAAUACCAAAUAAGAGAUUCGUUUUUUUAAGAGGAAAAAAAAAGAUUGUCAUUCGCUCUAAAAAGGCAUCACAGACUGCCGACACUGUACAGAAAAGUAGGAGAUGUUGACCUUUUUAUUGUAAACUUUCUGUAGCGUUGCCCUCUCGGUGGCGCGCUCCCCCUCGCACACAUGGGCGCGCACACGCACUCUUCAGCUCUAUGUUAUCUCAAAUAAUUACCCUGCGCUUCUGGCUGUCCCCAGUGACUGCUGCUGCUAAAAAAGCUACUCAUUGUCGGUGAGUGAAGAGGGAUUUCAAACCUGCUUCUUGUGGCCCAGCAACAGCUCUUAAUUAACCACUCAGGUAUUGAGCCGCCUCCUCGCCCAGCUCCAUCCAUAUGGCAGAACAUGUCCGCGGCGAUAAUCACUGAAGGAAAUAUUGUAUCAAAAAAAAAGGGCUCGCUGAACAGAAAGCUCCUGCAAAUUAUUUUUAAUGAUUCUCCUCUCUGAGCCGGGCUGUUUGCUGCGCUGGGUAAGGGCUGGGGACGGGCUGUCCUUGCUGUCCUUGCUGUCCUUGCUGUCCUUGCAGCUCCGCCGGCCGGCUCCUGGCGGUGGCACGAGGUGGGUGCGCGGUGCCCAGCCUUUGUUCCUGCAGCACAGCUGGGUGCGUGCCCGCUUCCAACAGCGCCGUACCUUAAGGAAAAACUUGCAGGCUUUGCGCAGCCCCACGUUUUUUCUUUCUCCCUUUGGUUUACAAAAAAGAAAAUAGCGAUUAGAGUUUAUAAAUCUAAUUAAAAAUGAAGUUGCAUUUACAUUUUAAAACCUCGCGUACGCCAGCAUACUGUGUCAAAAGAUAUUAUGUAUGAUUUUACUUUGUGACAGAAACCAUUACAUUUAAAAAUUCAUUACAGCAAGGUUAGUUAGACACAUGAUGGAUGCAGCUUUAAUCCUGCCAUAUAUUAUUACAGUUAAAAUGUAAAUGAUGAAAAAUAUUUUGUGCUUAUCAGCGUUUAUGUGGAAAUGUGUUUUACAGUGAUAUAUGGUGUUAUAUUUCUAUUAUUAUGAUGAGAAAGAAUGAAAUACCAAAAGACGAAGUGUUUAUUAAAACAUGGCUACUUGUGAUAAAAUAUUCUUGUUGUACAUGACUUUAAACAUAUUUACCGAGGGCAUUUGUCCAAAACAACUGUGAAAUGCGUUUGCUAUGCAAAUCAUUCUUUGUAAAUUUUUCUCCUCUCUGUUGUACUGACUGCAGCUUUCUAAUAGCCUAAUGUUAAAGUCAUGUAAAUAUAUUUUUAUUAUUUUUCAUUUCAGUCACGGGGGACUGGCGCUGUUUACACACAUGCCUGCGUUCGGGUAGAGAGCGGUUACACAGAAAGACAUCAAACAGGAAACUGAUCCUAGCACAGCCCCAUGUUCCUCUGUACCUCCUCUUGUUUCAGCUCCUCAAGGCCCAGCCUGCAGCAGAGGAGCCAGCCCUUGGCCUUCCAGCAUGUGUGGCCCCUGCAGCCUGUGUCCUGUUGACACCCCAGCAACCCAACAGCCCACAGCAAUUCAACAGCCUGCGCUCCCAAUCCCUUCCGUUCCACUGCGCAGCCGUAAGCGAGGCACUGCUGGGCACCUUCACGGCCAGAUGGUGUGGCCGCACGCCGGCACUGCCUCCAUCAUUUCCUAUGGAAGCUGAAAUGCAGACCAUGAGAGAGUACUCCAGGGGAAGUGCUGGAUACCCCAAGCAUGAAAAGGAGGGGAGCAACAGCCUCGCAUUCUCACAGGACCCUCCUACUGCACCAGCAAACUGUAUAAAGAAAAUGCCCUCUGGUUUGUUUGGCUGCCUCCCACUGCUGUGCCAAUCCACUGGCAUGAACUUUAAGGAUCCCUGCAAAAAGCUCUUAUGCUAAACAGCAUAACACAGCUGACUUUCAAGGAGCACUUAACAUCAGCUUAAUCGCUCAGGACCAUACCAGUACCUACACAGUCUUGUGUCAGAAGGGCAGGCAUCUAUUCAUAAGGGAAUCUGCUCUUCCCAUCUGGUAGACCGAAUUGAAGACGCUAAGUAUUGGUUGGAGGAAUUCUUAGGUAUAAAAUCAGUGUCUAAAUGUGUCUAACAAGCGUUUGAAUUGCAAACAUUAACAAUAUUAAUGCACUUAAUUUUAUCUAGUCCUAGCCAGCUCAUUUUCUGGGAGGUUUCUUGGUUUGUGUGUACUGGCACUGGAGAACUGGAAAGCAAAGACCCACGUAGCACCCAUCGCAGCUUAUUACAGAGGGUAAACAGCCAGUGUUAUUAGUAGAUGAGGAAAGGUAGAUCAAUAUAAAGAAAUACUGCUCUCAUUCACUAUUCCCUUUGUCACUGCCAGGCCUCAGAAUUUUUCAGUUCAUUGAUGUCAGUAAGGAUUUACGUGCCUGCCCAAGAAGCUGGUGCCAGAUUAUUCCCAGGCUGCAGCAGAUCCUGAUCAGCAUGUAAGCUGGCUUGGGCAGCUGCAUAAGGAAACAAAAUUUAAGAUCACAGCAACUUAAAAUACUGCUCGACUUUAUAACAUCAACAUUGGUAUCAGGGAACAUGGCAACAAAAGUGACCAAAAAGCAUCUCCUUUUGCUGUAAUGCUUAGCGAAUAUAUCAGGCUGGUUAGACAGAGGGCAUGUAAUGUUUUUCAUUAGCUGAAUGAGCACCUAGCUCAAGCCAAGUCUGAAGGCUUUUGGAAACACUUUAUUCACAGGGGGCAGCUUGGGGGUUAAACAAUGUUUAGCAUAUUCCCUUCCCUACAUUAUUUCACGUGCAGAGCUGCUUCCUCUUUGACAGCAUCAGGAGCCUAUCCUUACAUACCCUAAUGGUCUCAUGCCUUCAGCACGCUGUGGCUUACACCCGCAUACCUCCUUGUUGCUGUUAUCACCAAUGGUUUCCUCAAUGGAAAUAAUCAUGCACAUUACAACUGUUGCCAAAACCCUCUGGCACCAGAAUCACUCUCGGAAGGAAAGCCUGAAGGCAUGCGAGGGCCUGAGCAGCUGUAGCUGCAGUGAGGUAGGUCAGCAGUACUACAUGGGAAACCAUGCAAGAGGAAAGCUACAUGCUGCCUUAGUGUUUAACAGCAGCCAGAGUUAGGGGUCUGAUUCUGCUGGGGUUUCAGAAUGAAACCUGAAUGCUGGCCUGUGCAAAUUCCUCUGUUCACGGUUUCAUGUCCGUACGCACACACCGACAAUCCAUCAUGAGGUCCCAUCGCUGCAUCUGUGUGCCUUCGUGGAGACUGCAAAGGUUUUGCAUGAGUUCAAAUACGAAAAAAAAGUCAUUUUUCACACAUUCUAAUUUCAGAUAUGACUGUAAAUGUUCUAAGCCUCUUUGUAUAUUUAAACAUUUUUAGUGAGUUAGAAAACAAACAAACUAUAUCUGUUACAUUUCUGCAGUUAGAUCAUGUAACUUGACUGCCUGACAAAGCAUCAGCAGUAUGAGGUCCUUUAUGGGUCACAGCUGAGCCAGAUUUUACGCUUAAGAAUUUCCUCAUUUUGGACCAGA